rnacentral:rRNA from 1 species
UAGGGAAUCUUCGGCAAUGGACGAAAGUCUGACCGAGCAACGCCGCGUGAGUGAAGAAGGUUUUCGGAUCGUAAAACUCUGUUGUUAGAGAAGAACAAGGACGUUAGUAACUGAACGUCCCCUGACGGUAUCUAACCAGAAAGCCACGGCUAACUACGUGCCAGCAGCCGCGGUAAUACGUAGGUGGCAAGCGUUGUCCGGAUUUAUUGGGCGUAAAGCGAGCGCAGGCGGUUUCUUAAGUCUGAUGUGAAAGCCCCCGGCUCAACCGGGGAGGGUCAUUGGAAACUGGGAGACUUGAGUGCAGAAGAGGAGAGUGGAAUUCCAUGUGUAGCGGUGAAAUGCGUAGAUAUAUAGAGGAAAACCAGUGGCGAAGGCGGCUCUCUGGUCUGUAACUGACGCUGAGGCUGGAAAGCGUGGGGAGCAAACAGG